UACGUAGGGUGCAAGCGUUGUCCGGAAUUAUUGGGCGUAAAGAGCUCGUAGGCGGUUCGUCGCGUCGGCUGUGAAAUCCCGAGGCUCAACCUCGGGUCUGCAGUCGAUACGGGCGGACUGGAGUUCGGCAGGGGAGACUGGAAUUCCUGGUGUAGCGGUGAAAUGCGCAGAUAUCAGGAGGAACACCGGUGGCGAAGGCGAUCAUCUGGGGUUGUUCUGACGCUGAGGAGCGAAAGCUAGGGGAGCAAACGGG
rnacentral:rRNA from 1 species